UGGGGAAUAUUGCACAAUGGGGGAAACCCGUGAUGCAAGCGACGCCGCGUGAAGGAAGAAGUAUCUCGGUAUGUAAACUUCUAUCAGCAGGGAAGAUAGUGACGGUACCUGACUAAGAAGCCCCGGCUAACUACGUGCC
rnacentral:rRNA from 1 species